GCGGACAGAUGGGAGCUUGCUCCCUGAUGUUAGCGGCGGACGGGUGAGUAACACGUGGGUAACCUGCCUGUAAGACUGGGAUAACUCCGGGAAACCGGGGCUAAUACCGGAUGGUUGUUUGAACCGCAUGGUUCAAACAUAAAAGGUGGCUUCGGCUACCACUUACAGAUGGACCCGCGGCGCAUUAGCUAGUUGGUGAGGUAACGGCUCACCAAGGCAACGAUGCGUAGCCGACCUGAGAGGGUGAUCGGCCACACUGGGACUGAGACACGGCCCAGACUCCUACGGGAGGCAGCAGUAGGGAAUCUUCCGCAAUGGACGAAAGUCUGACGGAGCAACGCCGCGUGAGUGAUGAAGGUUUUCGGAUCGUAAAGCUCUGUUGUUAGGGAAGAACAAGUACCGUUCGAAUAGGGCGGUACCUUGACGGUACCUAACCAGAAAGCCACGGCUAACUACGUGCCAGCACCGCCCGGUAAUAA
rnacentral:rRNA from 1 species